GAUGAACGCUGGCGGCGUGCCUAAUACAUGCAAGUCGAGCGAACAGACGAGGAGCUUGCUCCUCUGACGUUAGCGGCGGACGGGUGAGUAACACGUGGAUAACCUACCUAUAAGACUGGGAUAACUUCGGGAAACCGGAGCUAAUACCGGAUAAUAUAUUGAACCGCAUGGUUCAAUAGUGAAAGACGGUUUUGCUGUCACUUAUAGAUGGAUCCGCGCCGCAUUAGCUAGUUGGUAAGGUAACGGCUUACCAAGGCAACGAUGCGUAGCCGACCUGAGAGGGGGGACGCCACACUUGGAACUGAAAACGGGUCCAGAUCCCGAGGGGAGGCAGCAGGGGGGAAUCUUCCGCAAGGGGCGAAAGCCUGAAGGGGCAACGCCGGGGGAGUGAAGAAGGUUUUCGGAUCGUAAAACUUUUUUAUUGGGGAAAAAAAAAUUUGUAAGUAACUAUGCAGGUCUGGACGGUACCAAAUCAGAAAGCCACGGCUAACUACGU
rnacentral:rRNA from 1 species